CAGAGUUGUUUCUAAAAUGCAGUUCUGAUCCUGUUACUCCUCUACUUAUCAACCUUCAGCUGAUGCAAUAAUAAAGUCCAAACUCAGAAGUGUGGCAUGCUUGGCCCUUUGUGAUCUGACUUAUGACAUCACCUCCAGUUUCAUCUCUCACCACUCUCCUCCCCAUGUCGUCACACUUACCAAAUAUCUUGCAGUUCCCAGAACAUGCUAAACUCUCUUGCUUCUGUGCUUUUGCACAGGUGGUUUCCAUAGCUCCCUUUUCCCUGCCUUCCUUGUCUGAAUCACUCCCUCACUCUUCAAAGUUCAAGAUUCCCCAAGCAAGGGAAGCAGCAUCACAAAGUACAGCCUAUUAAAUCUGCUCUACCAUUUAAUAGCUGUGAGACCUUUGGCAAUUAACUUAAUUUCUUUGCCUCUGUUUUCUCACUUUAACGAUGAAGAGCACCCACCUACAAAGUUGCUGUGAGGAUCAAUGCGGUCAAUAUGUGCAAAGUGCUGAAAACAGUACCCGGCCCAUGGAAAGCACCAAAUAAGGAUUUGCUAUCAUUCGUAUUAUUAGUAAUCUUUGUGCCUAGUACAAUGCCUGACACUUAAGAGAUGCUCAAUAAACAAUUACUUUUUUGAACAAAA